GACGGAGGAUGCAAGCGUUAUCCGGAAUGAUUGGGCGUAAAGCGUCCGCAGGUGGCCGUUCAAGUCUGCUGUCAAAGACCGGGGCUUAACUUCGGAAAGGCAGUGGAAACUGAACAGCUAGAGUAUGGUAGGGGCAGAGGGAAUUCCUGGUGUAGCGGUGAAAUGCGUAGAGAUCAGGAAGAACAUCGGUGGCGAAGGCGCUCUGCUGGACCAUAACUGACACUCAGGGACGAAAGCUAGGGGAGCAAAUGGG
rnacentral:rRNA from 1 species